GAUGAAGAACGUAGCGAAAUGCGAUACUUGGUGUGAAUUGCAGAAUCCCGUGAACCAUUGAGUCUUUGAACGCAAGUUGCGCCCGAAGCCACUAGGCCGAGGGCACGCCUGCCUGGGCGUCACACGCCGUUGCCCCCCCAUCUACUCCUUCGGGAUUGCGGGGGGGCGGAUGAUGGCCUCCCGUGCGCCUAGCCGCGCGGUUGGCAUAAAUACCAAGUCCUCGGCGACGCACGCCACGACAAUCGGUGGUUGCGAAACCUCGGUUGCCCGUCGUGUGCGUUCGUCGCGCAUCGAGGGCUCGAAAAAAUGCUCGGCUCCGGCUGGGCUUUCAACGCGACCCCAGGUCAGGCGGGGUUACCCGCUGAAUUUAAGCAUAUCAAUAAGCGGAGGA
rnacentral:misc_RNA from 1 species